UUAGUAAGCUCCUACAUCGUAACGUAAAGUUCGUUGUCAACAAUCAUUUAUUUUCGAACAAAAUAUUUCUGUGCACUAAAUUCCAUAACGAUUGUCGGUCUGGAAAUGAAAGGACACACGUCUGUCACCCUGACCCAAUUAGCAAAAUAUAUUUUGGAUGAAUAUCCGUGCCACAGAAGCCACGACAACGGAAACUAUCAGGACGUUAUUCACCAUACAUUGGUAGCAGCCGUUCAGCACGGAUUCCUUGUCAGAAGCGAUAAUUUGUAUUCGCGUGACGAAUUUGAAAUAGAAGAUUUUCCAGAUAAUUUAUUCUCCACCGUAAAUAUUUCGAAUGAACGUAAGCGCUUGCAAAUGAGAUGUCUGAUGAAACGCCUAAAACUAAAAGAUGGUCAAACGUCGGAAGAGCUUUGCGCUGUCGACGAGUCCGUUUCGAUAAUAGAGAAGAUAUUGGAGAAAGGUGUUCAUCUAGGGUUCAUAAGUUCAAAUAAUAAAGUCGGUCAUGGGAAACAGUACUUUCGGAAUGUACCAAAACCGAGUAGAGGUAUAAUCUGCGCCCCGAAUUAUUCGUUCUGUUCGACAUUGUCUAAGACAGCUAGCGUUUAAGAUCAAUUUAUUCGGUUACGAUUUGACAAAUAAAUUCUUGAACAUUUUAA